CAGUGAACAACACCAAGAGAAAGUCAACGUUUUCUUUAUAUCUAGUGACAGUGAUCAGGUCAUCAGUUCAGAUAAGUACUGGUAAACUUAU